rnacentral:rRNA from 1 species
GUGCCAGCAGCAGCGGUAAUACGAAGGUGGCAAACGUUGUUCGGAAUCACUGGGCAUAAAGCGUGUGUAGGCGGUUCGGUAAGUGAGGUGUGAAAUCCCUGGGCUCAACCCAGGAACUGCGCCUCAAACUGGCGGACUUGAGUAUCGGAGGGGUGUGUGGAACUCUUGGUGGAACGGUGAAAUGCGUAGAUAUCAAGAGGAACGCCGGUGGCGAAAGCGACACACUGGCCGAAGACUGACGCUGAGACACGAAAGCUAGGGGAGCAAACAGGAUUAGAUACCCUGGUAGUCC